rnacentral:rRNA from 1 species
UGGGGAAUCUUGCACAAUGGGGGCAACCCUGAUGCAGCGACGCCGCGUGAGCGAUGAAGCCCUUCGGGGCGUAAAGCUCUUUCGACCGGAACGAUAAUGACGGUACCGGGAGAAGAAGCUGCGGCUAACUACGUGCCAGCAGCCGCGGUAAUACGUAGGCAGCAAGCGUUGUUCGGAGUUACUGGGCGUAAAGAGUGCGUAGGCGGUUUUCUAAGUUCGGUGUGAAAUCUCCCGGCUUAACUGGGAGGGUGCGCCGAGGACUGGGAAGCUGGAGUGUGGGAAAGGCAGGCGGAAUUCCUGGUGUAGCGGUGAAAUGCGUAGAUAUCAGGAGGAACACCGGCGGUGUAGACGGCUUGCUAGACCAUAACUGACGCUGAGGCACGAAAGCGUGGGUAGCAAACA